GAGGAAUAUUGGUCAAUGGACGAGAGUCUGAACCAGCCAAGUCGCGUGAAGGAAGACGGUUCUAUGAAUUGUAAACUUCUUUUGUGCAGGAAUAAAGUGGGUUACGUGUAACCUUUUGUAUGUACUGUACGAAUAAGGAUCGGCUAACUCCGUGCCAGCAGCCGCGGUAAUACGGAGGAUCCGAGCGUUAUCCGGAUUUAUUGGGUUUAAAGGGUGCGUAGGUGGAUUGAUAAGUCAGCGGUGAAAGUUUGCAGCUUAACUGUAAAAUUGCCGUUGAAACUGUCGGUCUUGAGUGCAAUUGAGGUAGGCGGAAUGUGUUGUGUAGCGGUGAAAUGCUUAGAUAUAACACAGAACUCCGAUUGCGAAGGCAGCACACUGGACUUGCCCUGACGCUGAGGCGCGAAAGCGUGGGGAGCAAACA
rnacentral:rRNA from 1 species